GACGUAGGGCGCGAGCGUUGUCCGGAUUUAUUGGGCGUAAAGAGCUCGUAGGCGGCUUGUUGCGUCGUCCGUGAAAACCCGUGGCUCAACUGCGGGCUUGCGGUCGAUACGGGCAGGCUGGAGUUCGGUAGGGGAGACUGGAAUUCCUGGUGUAGCGGUGAAAUGCGCAGAUAUCAGGAGGAACACCGGUGGCGAAGGCGGGUCUCUGGGCCGACAUUGACGCUGAGGAGCGAAAGCGUGGGGAGCGAACAGG
rnacentral:rRNA from 1 species